UUAAAAGAAGAUGCCGAUUAAUUAGAGGAUAAAUGGCAGCGUGGCCCAGUGCAGAGCCCUGGGUGGGCAGGGGGAGAGGAGCAACCUGCACCAAACGGGUGAUCUUCUCAGUGGGAACAUCCUGCCAUGGGAAGGCUUUGCUGGCAGGAGGGAGCAGCAGAAGCUUUGGCUCCCCAGGAUCCCAUCACCAGCUUUGCUGCCUGUGGAGCCCCGGGAACCACCAGUGUGGGGGCUGAGACCAGAGCUGGGCCAAACUCUGCACCCUCCAGGGGGACCUGGGGUGGCUAAAAUCCCUGGAGAAGUCCAUGAGGGGCAGUGAAGGAGCUAACUCUGAGAGCAGGGAGUUCCCAGAAAUUGGACCUGCUGCACUGGGAAAAGCCUCCUCUUCCUCCUCCCACCCUCUGCUCCGUGGAUCACGCUCAUCACAUGUGGCCGUGAUGGGGAAGGUACAGGAAAGGUUGGCAAGACUGGAGGCGCCUCCCAGCGUGGAGAGAAGAGCAGACAGACCUGUUUGAGUCUCCAGCCUUCAGGCUCCCACAACAGGAAAAUGACACUCGAGCAGAUGUUGCCAGGUCUUCCAUGCCAACCCACCUGUGCUGUGGAGAAGCCCGCUGGGGCCGGAGAGGUGCCUGUGUCUGCAGCACCGGUGGACACUGGUUGGCCACACUGACUCCAUGGGCACUUUUCUCCUGUGAUCCCAACCACAGAGACCCUGAGAAAGGCCCACGGCAAGGACAGGAAUCAAUCAGCAUCAGCGCAGAGGGGUUUGCUACAGAAUGUUCUUCAUGAUGAGAAGUGAAAAAAAGCAUUGUUUUCUGGAGUACAUGCUAUGGAGAGUUUAAGGUGAGUCAAACAUUUACUGUUGCACUGAUAUUAUUAAAUAUAAACAUGGAUGCAUAAAUAUUUUGCUGCAACAAGCACGACUGUGUGUUGAUUAGCAGAGAUGUUUAGAUGUGUGUGUGUUAUAGUCAUUUACUGAGGGAGGUGCAGCCACCUCCAGAGAGGGACUGGCUGAUCCCACAGCUGGGGCAGAGCAGACGGGGGGCUCUGAUGUCCCUGACCCUGCUCUGUGUAGGAUGAGGCUGGGUCUGCUCUGCACUUCCAGGAGUCCCAGCAGGGACCUGUGACCCUGUGGCCUUGCCUGCUCCAGCUGCACCACCAGCUGGCUGUGGCUGCCACCCAUGAAGGGCACAGAUCAAAGCCAGCAUCUUCCAGCUACUGCUUCAGUACCUGACAACAUUGUCAGGGUUUUCAUGCCUCCUGGGUUGACUCCAGGCAGUGAUCAAACUAGAAAGCCAUCCAGGAGGGAUCAGUCACUGAAGACUCUCUGUGCUAACCUGAGAUGAGUUGAGAACUUUGCUGCUGAGUCUGUGCAGGUUCAGACUGUGUCUCCCACCAGCCAGAGAACCUGUAGGAACACUGCACACCGUGAACCUGAGGCUUGGGCUGGCUGGACCCACUGUGUGUGCAGGUGUGAGAAUGUGUGUGUGUGUGCCCACACCGCCCUAGAACAAGAAUAGAAGCAGGAAAAUGAGAAGCUCAUGUUUUAGUCUCUCUCGGAUCUAAUGCAACAUGAGCUGGGAGAAGAAAUUAAAAAAACCUAAACAAACAAAGCCCACAUCUCUCCCUCCCAGCAGCACCUUCUCUCUCUCCCACCUUCUUCCCCACGUCUCCAAAAAAGUGAAAAAAAAACAACAAGCCAACAAACAAUUUUUUUGGCCUGUUCUGAAAGAAAACUAAAUUAGGGAUUUUGAGCAAGAAUCCCUGUUUGAUGGUAACACGUAUUUAGCUCAGUACUGGCUCUGCCCUUGUGUUUUUAUGCCGUGUAGAGAAAAAGGAUAACGUUGCAGAGCCUCUGCCUUCAUUAUCUGCUGGGCUGGUAAUUCGUUUCUUGCUAACAAAGGCUUGGCUUUGUUGGAAUUUCAUCUUUUGGCUGUUGUAAUUCAUUCUUAUAUCUAUGAAUAUUAAAGCAAGGCCAAGAAGGGCUUGCAGACACCUCUCCAGCCCUCAUGCUUGUGUGCAGAGAGUGUCAGUCAAGGCCUGACAUGGAGGUCUUCAUCAUUAUGCAAUGUGGCCCAUGUUGCAGCUGUCAGAUUUUCGUUUGAUGCUGAUUAACUUCAUCAGUAUAAUUGUUCAAGUUGUCUGGAGAAAAUGGGAGGCUAAAUACCUUCCAAAGUGAUCGACACACUGCGCCCAGGCCGCUGUUGGGAUGCUGAAGGCACCUGCAGGUGCUGUGCUGCAACCUGAAUGAGGUUUCUCUCACCUCUUGCCAAAACUUCUCCUUUUCCCCCCUCAGCUCCCCCAGCAGUUACCUGGCAGAAUGAUUUGAUUAGUUGUUCAUUUAAUUGCGUUCUGGGGUGCUGUUGAAAGUAGCAUCCUUCAAAGUCAUGGAGAAGACUCAGCAGUUAGAGACAGCUUUGGCACCAUCAAAUGCAGACAGGGCAGGAGGGCUUCAUUUGCCUGUGACUGGGCUUUGGGGUUGUUAUAGAUCCCAGCGCUUAAAAAGGCACAUUUAUUUGCAAUUAGCUGCCAGCUCCCCCAAGACCCUUUCCAGGUGCUCUUUGUGCACAAAGCCUGCAGUACCUUUGUGUCAGGCCUUUGGAUGCCCGUGUCUGACAACCUCAUGAAAUAAACUUUAGUCACAAGGGGGGGGAGGGGGAGGGAACAACUGAAAAAAUAUAUUUAUUGGAGUAAAUAAAAAAAAGUUAACCAAAAUCCUUUAUUGAUACAUUCUUGGAUAAUAUCACAGGAUUGAGAGAAUGGAAAGGAAGGGAGGAGGUUGCAGCAAAGAUUGGGUUCACUAAAUUGGCACAUAAGCAGCAAGAUUAACGAAAUUACUUGUUACAAACAGUAGAAAACAUACAUGCUUUUUUAAGUCCUUAUCACACUGGUCAAUCAUGGUGGGGCAUCAACAAAAAAAAAAAAACAACAAACCUCAAGACAUGUAAAAGCCAUAUUCUUUCCUCCAAAUAUCAUAAGAAUUAGUGAAAUUAUUGCAAAAUAGUCAUAUACCUUAAAUAAAAUAACAAAAUAGAACACAAAUACAAAUAUCAAACAUAAAUUAUUAACAUGUACCAUAAAAUACAUUACUGGCAUGCAUUCCAAAUAUCAAGACCUGUACUAAAACUCAGCAAAAAUCUUUUCUGCUUCCUCUGCAGCCCAUCAGAGUCGGGAGGGGGGGGGGGACUAACUUCGCCAGCACAGUUUUUGGUCUUUAAAUUCUUUUUUUGUUUGUUUGGUUAAAAAAAAUAACAUAUAUGGAUCGCAGUGAUACAAUAGUAAUCAUACAAGUCACGUACAUAGGUCUUUUAAAUCCUUAGUUGGUUGUUUUUUUUCAGAUGUGCUAAGUCGGAGCAAACAGGGCCUUGAUGAAACUCUGCAUCCAAGAAACAAACAGUGAACUCAAACCAACAUGGAUGGCCAUAUGCAAAAAAUCCUCACAAACUGUACAGAAAGUUCAAAAACUUGCAGUCUGGAAGUACAUAGAAAGACAGAAUUAGCCCCUUAAAGUCCUUGCAGGUGCCCCCCGCCCGGGCCGGUCCUCCCGCCCGCAGCCGGGCCCGGCAGCUCCCGCCGCCGCGGCAGGUCCGAGGCCACGGAGCAGGUCCAAGGCAGCUCCCGCCGCCGCGGCAGGUCCGAGGCCACGGCCAGAGGCAGCGCCGGCCACGUGCGAAGCCGAGAGCGAUGCAGGGAGUGUCAGGGAGCGGCCCUCGGGCUCCUCUCGCGCUUUCCCGCAGCGUGGCCGUGCCCUGGCCCCCCGAGGGAGGAUGCACAUCCUCGCCCGUCCUCCGCCCCACGCGGGCUAGAUCACCAGGUUGUUAUAACUGACGUACUUCUUUUUUGCAGCAGGGCCUGGAAGGGAAGCAGAGGAAGGUCAGGACCCCGCGCCUCGGGCAGGGCGCAGCGGCAGCUCCAACGCCCCAGCUCCUUCCCGCAGGCACAGCCCGACGCCGUGAGCUCAGCCCAGGCCUGCUGCCAGCUCCCCACAUCCCAGGGAGAUUUCUUUUUUUAAAAAAAAAAACAAACAGUGAUGUUCUCUCCAACUUCUUCAAUCUCCUGGGCUAAAGUAGUUUUUUUUUUUCCUCAGAAUUCUUAUUCAAGUGUUACGACUUCUGACAAUUUCUCAAUGUCGGGAUCAAGGUACCAGCUUUCCUAAUUCUGACCUUCAAAAUUAAAUCUGUUUGCAAGGAGGAAUAAAUAAAGCCAGUCAGUAGCUCCCUUGUGAGCGAUGCCAUGCUCUUCUGGCAGCAAAAACUGCAAAUAUUUGCAGCUGAAUACAAAGCAAAAUAUUCUGCAGUACUUUGGCAACACUGACAGAUUAGGGACAUAUCAACUGAUAACGUGUUCUCCACCGGGCAUGUUAACAAAGACAUCACUAUUUAUAUGCAAAUUCUGUAACUGGAUGUAACUACUUGGUCUGGGCUUAUGAGAUUUUAUAUUGAACCGUGUUCCCAUGAAUACAGAAAAGGCCUUUCACCCCCUUACACACUUUUGAAGACAAAAAGAAAAAGCAAGUCUAUGAAGUACGUAUGUUCUUGCAGUAAAGAUUAAAAUCCAACGUUCUGAGUUAUCACAAGACCAGUAUAAGCUAAUGGGUAUGCUCAAAAGGUUAAAAUCACCGAGCAUUGCUGCUGUGCUCAACUAGUCUUUUUCAGCAUUUGUGGGUUUUUGAGUAACUUGGAUUCAACAAAAUAUAUUCACAUGAAUCAUAACCAACCAUGCACAGAAAAACCAGAUCUAGAAACAAACCUGAGCCUCAGUGCAUCCCCCAGUAAAAUACAGAUUUGGAAGACAAGUGAGAGAAAGGGAUAAGGCUGAUUUAUCUGGGAUUGCUGGAAACCCUCUGCUCCUUUUGCCUCCACCACUGGAGAGAUCUGCUGGCCCCAAGCACCCCUCCCUCUGCUCCCACUGUCUGUGGGUAUUUCCCUUGGCAUAUCCUACAGACAGAAAGCAUUAUUCACCAGAGACCACUGUUAAUUUUUUUGGGGGGUCUGCUUUUCAGAAAUAUGUUUAAAUAAGAACAGGCUCUGGACGAGCAACUUGGAAUAUUUUGAGAGCUCAAUGCACAAUUAAUUCAUUUCAUUUCUUGUGGUGUUCACUGUCUUUUUUACUGACAAAGAUACAAUCUCCCUCCUAUGUGUUUUCAAGACUGUCAUUUAAGAACCUCCUGGGUAACUCCAGUGCUUUGCAGGGUUAUUCUGAGACCCUAGUUCAGUUGUUUCACCAUGUUCCAUAGCAGAGUCUGAGCUGUCUGCUCCAUCACCCACUGAUCCUACAAAAUGCUGAUCGUUUUCAGCUCCCAUUAACUUCUCUCGGACACGAAGGUGUUCAAAGCAUGACAGGAUGAAACUCAUUAUCCUUCAAGGCUGGACUGCAAAUAUUCAAUAAACUGGUAAGCUAUUAAAUGCUGAAGAGAGGUAAAAGGCAGCUGGCAAAAAAAAUACCAUCAUGAAAGAGGUUGCGAAGUAAUUACAUGUAUUAUUUUGUGAUAUACUUCAGCUUUGUCCAUUACGUGCUCCAAUUUCAAAUAGCGGCAGAGCUCCUAUGACAGAGGAGAUGUUGAUACUCUCCAGUGCUGGUUCAUCUCAUGUCAACCCCUCCAGGAAGUUUUACUGCAGCAUUCCCAGCAAACCUGCUAUUUUACUUGAUGGGUUUUCUCACAAAUCCAACCACAGUAGCUCAUCUCUCAUUUUCAAAAUGACAAUGACCCACCAGUGCCAAAUGAGUUCAGCCAAGAAAUACUGUUGACAGUGUGUGCUUCCGUAACCUCCCAUGAAACGAUGGGCUCCACUCAGCUGAGCCUGAGACAGUGGUUAUCUUUGGCAGCACUCUGCUUCUCAAGAAUAAUGUAGUUGACAAAAACAUCAUCCAUAAUUUAGAUAAAGUGAUCAAUAAAUGCCUCAUGAUUACUUUGGAAAGCCAAUCUUCCCUGGCUCUAAAGGCUGUUGGGCCAGAGCAGGUCAUGUCUCUUGUUCUGUGGCUGGUGCUGUUCCCUGAUCUGCUCCUGCCCUACCUCCAGGAACCUGGAGCUCUGCUGCUGUCCAGCUCCCAGAAGUGCUCCGGGCUUGAUCUGGAGUCUCCAGCAGAGAGCCAGUCCACCUCCACAGGGAGUCUCUUCAGAGUCUCAGCUCAUCGUUAUCACAAGCAAUUAGCAUCAGGUAUGGAUUUGAUUUUCCUCAAAGAAGUUAAUUUACAUGAAAAUGGGGAAUGCUAAUGAAACAUCAGCAUUACCAGAAUUCACCCUGUUGUAAUUUAUCCAGGAUACACCAGCAUUCCCUGCCCUUUAAAUGGAAACCAGAUACAGAUCUCCUACACUCUGUUGCUGUUCAUGUUAAUGGAUGACAGCUUUCCAGCAGAGAAAACACAUUGUCCUCUUGCAGAUAGCAUAUGCAUGUUAAUUAACAUACAUAUGAUUGUGUCAACCUCAGCCAUCCCUGCUGGGAGGCAGAGCCACUGGCAGGGGGGGCAGCAGCACUGGCAGGGGGGCAGCAUGUGCUCUGAAGCACUGGCAUUGUGGGACUUGGGGGAAAAAGGGACCUUCCUAUUUAAAAAGAGGCUGCAAAUUGCUGCUAGUGACAGGCAGCCUUUUCUGCUCAUUAGUGGGUAUAGCAACAGUGUUAUUAGGAGAAGAAAUUAGUAUGGGAAAUACCUGAAGAAAACAAUUCUGUAUGUACAGACAGGGCUGGAAACAACCUCCAGCCACAGGCAGGUGUCAAGCAGAGCACAGCAGGGGAUUCUACUGCUCCCACUAUCAUUUUGCCUUAACUUUGCUUGAGAUGGAAAUUGUUUUGUCCACAUUAUGGUGGGACCUGGCCUGGGCCAUCACACUUCAGACAGGCUGGGAAGGCCUUUUCCCACUCCUCAUGAAAGGAUCCUGCCCUCUUCCCUUGCCAGCAUCCAUCUCAGGACGCUGGCAGGCAGCCCAGCAGGAAGGAUGCGCUGAUGCUCACGGGAAGUUACAGAGAUGAACACAACCAGGAUAUCGACAUGCGGAAAAUAAACAGUAUCUGUUCAAAUAAUUAAAUUGAAUUAUACCCCUUUCCUUUUCAGCUAUUAUCAGCCCUGCCCAACAGGCAGUGGGGGGCAGUGACAGUCUAGACCUGUCCCCUGCCAGCAGUGGGUAACAGGGUACAUCUCUGUGCCAGCAACAUAUUAAAACAAACACACAGAAGCAAAAACCCUCUUUGGAUAUGUAAGUCUCAUCACUUGACUGGUUUCCAUUAUCUUGAGCAUGGGCUACAAAGAAAGAAGCUCCCACAGCAUCCAAAAGCAAGGCAGGUCUGUCAAUACUUGCUCAGAGUCAGAUUUAAUCACUUUCACUUCAAUUUUAUGCACAUUUGUAACCUCUUCCAUGCUUAAAGAGAAAAGAUUUACAGUGCAAGAAAUGAACCUUAUUACAGCCUGCAGGCAUCUCAAGCUAUCAAAUGCAUGAAACAUGAUCUUAGUAUUUCCAGCACUGAGCAAGAACUGACAUCCUGAUGGCUACAGGUCUGGAACUUCUGCUCUGAUUUCCUUUGCAGUCACCGUGGCAGAUGAUGCUUCCCUCCUCUCUCUCAUUUUCCUAAUUCUUGCUUAGAAACCUGUAUCAUUCAUGCCGGGCAAAGCAGAGGCUUCCCAUCCACCUAAAAGAGAAAUGUCUGCAUGUGGCUCCUCCUCUGCUCCAUGCCCGAAAGACAGAGCUAUCCACAUGCUCUGCUGCCUCUAAAUUGGGGAAUAUAUAUGAGAAAGAGAUGAAAGCAACAGUCCUAAAUGAUCUACCUUCUUGCCCAAAACCUGACAAGUGGAAUGAAGCUUGGAGAAAAUAAUAUAAUUUUAUAUUUAGUAUCUAAAUGUAAAUAGAUUGGUAUAUCACACGUUCACAUCUCUCCUGUUGUGCUCCUUACCACAGUAUAUUUGCAGCUUAGCUGGUAUAUAAAUGCCUACAGUUGUGUAAAAAAUAUUUCAUUUUCUUGCAUGUGUCGGGGGGUAAUUGCUUGUCUCUGAGCUGCAGCCUGAACUGCCUGACUUUUAUGCAGAUUAGCACACAGAACCUCAUGUUUUAAUAAUAGAAUGCGAAUAUAUUAAAUUACAAAUACAACAUUAGUAAGAAGAGUGUUCCUCCUAAUCGCUUUACAGCCUUCUCUUCUCA